rnacentral:sRNA from 1 species
UGAAAGACACUGAUGUGGACACACUUGA